rnacentral:sRNA from 1 species
CUUGCUGUGGACAGAUAAAGUGGAUAUGCGAAUCAAUCCCACCGGCCGUCAGAAUUUGGCCUUCGCCGGCGAUAACUUCUGUGCCUGGACCCACAACAAUAUCAACAUCAGGUUGUACGUCAGGAUUUCCUGCCUUACCAAUUGCUGCGAUACGACCAGCUUUGAUGCCAAGGUCUGCCUUGAUAACCCCCCAGUAAUCCAGAAUCAGCGCAUUGGUAAUUACAACAUCUGCAACUUCUGCUGCCAUCGCUUGGCUUUGACCCAUGCCAUCGCG